GGCGAGUGGCGAACGGGUGAGUAAUGCAUCGGAACGUACCCGGGAGAGGGGGAUAACCGGCCGAAAGGCUGGCUAAUACCGCAUGAACUCGGAAGAGCAAAGCGGGGGACCUUCGGGCCUCGCGCUCUCGGAGCGGCCGAUGUCCGAUUAGGCUAGUUGGUGGGGUAAAGGCCCACCAAGGCGACGAUCGGUAGCGGGUCUGAGAGGACGAUCCGCCACACUGGGACUGAGACACGGCCCAG
rnacentral:rRNA from 1 species